rnacentral:lncRNA from 1 species
GAUCUUGCAAGUGUGAACAAAAGUAUAUAAAAAAAAGAGUGAAAAGAAAGAGUGCUAAAGAGUGUACAAAAAGAGUCUAAAAGAAAAUUAGUCACUAGGGACAAGUGAGGAGAAAAGUAAGAAAAAAGUGAAAAAGAAAAGAAGUGAGCUCAAAAGUAUAUAAAUUUUUUUGAAAACCCUAUUAAAAAAAAAAAAAAAAACUCAAAGAAAGAGAGCUUAAGCUAAGAAAAGAGUGAAAAGUCUCUAGUUAACAAAAAAAAGAAACAAAGAGUUCAAGUGGAGGGAGUGUCUUUUAAAUGAUCUUAGAGUUUUGGGUGAGUGAAAAAGAGUUUGUCAUUGAGAAAUAAGGGUAGAACUUGUAUAACAUUUGGGAAAAUGAUAGAACAAUGGAAAUUGAGCAUUGUAUGCAUGAAUUGUUCCUUUUCUUAGAUAUAUUAUGCAUAAUGUCAAGGCUACUAAGUUUUUGAGAGUAAGUCACCUUAAAAAGAAAUCAUUUAAGCCUCUUGAU